ensembl:lncRNA
GGCAAUGGAUAUGUCUUGUAAAUGAAGAUGAGCCAAUUCUAUAAAAGUGACAUUGCUUACCCUCAAAUACAUUUCAUAUCAAGAUCAGAGAAUCCCAAGUAGUUUUGUUACUUUAUGUCACGAGAACAAAAUGUACUGUUUUAUGCCCUCUGGUGUACAGUGCUGGUACUGCACUGCUGCUUUGCCCUCUGUAAGUGCAUUCACCUCUGCUCUCCUGCAGGCAGCGCUAAAGAGCACACAGUGCUGAAGAAGGCAGAGCAGUACGGUUGCCAGCGGCAACAUGUGGAGCCUCCACCGGCAGACAUGGAGCUGAUUUUACCCUGGAGGUGAGAGAUGGGGACGACUUUGAGCUGAUUUUACCCUGGAGGUGAGAGUUGGGGACGACUUUGAGCUGAUUUUACCCUGGAGGUGAGAGUUGGGGACGACUUUGAGCUGAUUUUACCCUGGAGAUGAGAGAUGGGACGACUUUGAGCUGAUUUUACACACCCUGGAGGUGAGAGUUGGGGACGACUUUGAGCUGAUUUUACCCACCCUGGAGGUGAGAGUUGGGGACGACUUUGAGCUGAUUUUACCCUGGAGGUGAGAGAUGGGGACGACUUGGAGCUGAUUUUACCCGCCCUGGAGGUGAGAGUUGGGGACGACUUUGAGCUGAUUUUACCCUGGAGGUGAGAGAUGGGGACGACUUUGAGCUGAUUUUACACACCCUGGAGGUGAGAGUUGGGGUCGACUUUGAGCUGAUUUUACACACCUUGGAGGUGAGAGUUGGGGACGACUUUGAGCUGAUUUUACCCUGGAGGUGAGAGUUGGGGACGACUUUGAGCUGAUUUUACACACCCUGGAGGUGAGAGUUGGGGACGACUUUGAGCUGAUUUUACACACCCUGGAGGUGAGAGAUGGGGACGACUGUGAGCUGAUUUUACCCUGGAGGUGAGAGAUGGGGAUGACUUUGAGAUGACUUUACCCACCCUGGAGGUGAGAGAUGGGGAUGACUUUGAGCUGAUUUUACCCUGGAGGUGAGAGAUGGAGACGACUUUGAGCUGAUUUUACACACCCUGGAGGUGAGAGUUGGGGACGACUUUGAGCUGAUUUCACACACCCUGGAGGUGAGAGUUGGG